rnacentral:rRNA from 1 species
GAUGAACGCUAGCGGGAGGCUUAACACAUGCAAGUCGAGGGGCAGCACGAGGUAGCAAUACUUUGGUGGCGACCGGCGCACGGGUGAGUAACGCGUAUGUAACCUACCUUGUACAGGGGGAUAGCCCGGAGAAAUUCGGAUUAAUACCCCAUAAUGAUAUCGAGAGGCAUCUUUUGAUAUUUAAAGUUUCGACGGUACAUGAUGGGCAUGCGUGACAUUAGCUAGUUGGUAAGGUAACGGCUUACCAAGGCUGCGAUGUCUAGGGGUCCUGAGAGGGUGAUCCCCCACACUGGUACUGAGACACGGACCAGACUCCUACGGGAGGCAGCAGUGAGGAAUAUUGGUCAAUGGGCGUAAGCCUGAACCAGCCAUCCCGCGUGAAGGAAGAAGGCGCUAUGCGUCGUAAAACUUCUUUUCUCUGGGAAUAAAAACUCCGAUUUACUCGGAGCUUGAAGGUACCAGAGGAAUAAGCACCGGCUAACUCCGUGCCAGCAGCCGCGGUAAU